UGACGACCGGCGCACGGGUGCGUAACGCGUAUACAAUCUACCUUGUACUGGGGUAUAGCCUUUGGAAACGAAGAUUAAUCCCCCAUGGUAUCAUUUUAUGGCAUCAUAUUAUGAUUAAAGGUUACGGUACAAGAUGAGUAUGCGUCCUAUUAGUUAGAUGGUAAGGUAACGGCUUACCAUGACUACGAUAGGUAGGGGCCCUGAGAGGGGGACCCCCCACACUGGUACUGAGACACGGACCAGACUCCUACGGGAGGCAGCAGUGAGGAAUAUUGGACAAUGGAGGCAACUCUGAUCCAGCCAUGCCGCGUGCAGGAAGACGGCCCUAUGGGUUGUAAACUGCUUUUAUACAGGAAGAAACCACUCUACGUGUAGAGUCUUGACGGUACUGUAAGAAUAAGGAUCGGCUAACUCCGUGCCAGCAGCCGCGGUAAUACGGAGGAUCCAAGCGUUAUCCGGAAUCAUUGGGUUUAAAGGGUCCGUAGGCGGGCUAUUAAGUCAGAGGUGAAAGUUUGCGGCUCAACCGUAAAAUUGCCUUUGAUACUGGUAGUCUUGAAUUAUUGUGAAGUGGUUAGAAUAUGUAGUGUAGCGGUGAAAUGCAUAGAUAUUACAUAGAAUACCAAUUGCGAAGGCAGAUCACUAACAAUAUAUUGACGCUGAUGGACGAAAGCGUGGGGAGCGAACAGGAUUAGAUACCCUGGUAGUCCACGCCGUAAACGAUGGAUACUAGCUGUUCGACAUUUAUGUUGAGUGGCUAAGCGAAAGUGAUAAGUAUCCCACCUGGGGAGUACGUUCGCAAGAAUGAAACUCAAAGGAAUUGACGGGGGCCCGCACAAGCGGUGGAGCAUGUGGUUUAAUUCGAUGAUACGCGAGGAACCUUACCAGGGCUUAAAUGUAG
rnacentral:rRNA from 1 species